AACGAACGCUGGCGGCAUGCCUAACACAUGCAAGUCGAGCGCCUGUAGCGAUACGGGAGCGGCGCACGGGUGAGUAACGCGUGGGAACCUGCCCUUAGGUUCGGGACAACCGCGGGAAACUGCGGCUGAUAUCGGAUGAAGUCCCCGAUAGAGAUAUUGGGGCCCAAAGAUUUAUCGCCUUUGGAGGGGCCCGCGUCGGAUUAGGUAGUUGGUGGGGUAACGGCUCACCAAGCCUGUGAUCCGUAGCUGGUCUGAGAGGAUGGUCAGCCACACUGGGACUGAGACACGGCCCAGACUCCUACGGGAGGCAGCAGUGGGGAAUAUUGGACAAUGGGCGCAAGCCUGAUCCAGCCAUGCCGCGUGAGUGAUGAAGGCCUUAGGGUUGUAAAGCUCUUUCGCCGACGAAGAUAAUGACGGUAGUCGGAGAAGAAGCCCCGGCUAACUUCGUGCCAGCCGCCGCAGUAAAAC
rnacentral:rRNA from 1 species